rnacentral:rRNA from 1 species
GAUGAACGCUGGCGGCGUGCCUAAUACAUGCAAGUCGAGCGAACGGACGAGAAGCUUGCUUCUCUGAUGUUAGCGGCGGACGGGUGAGUAACACGUGGAUCACCUACCUAUAAGACUGGGAUAACUUCGGGAAACCGGAGCUAAUACCGGAUGAUAUUUUGAACCACAUGGUUCAAUAGUGAAAGACGGUCUUGCUGUCACUUAUCGAUGGAUCCGCGCUGCAUUAGCUAGUUGGUAAGGUAACGGCUUAUCAGGGCAACGAUGCAUAGCCGACCUGAGAGAGUGAUCGGCCACACUGGAACUGAGACACGGUCCUGACUCCUACGGGAGGCAGCAGUAGGGAAUCUUCCGCAAUGGGCGAAAGCCUGACGGAGCAACGCCGCGUGAGUGAUGAAGGUCUUCGGAUCGUAAAACUCUGUUAUUAGGGAAGAACAUAUGUGUAAGUAACUGUGCACAUCUUGACGGUAACUAAUCAGAAAGCCACGGCUAACUACGUG